rnacentral:rRNA from 1 species
GGCCGAUUAGGUAGACGGUGGGGUAACGGCCCACCGUGCCAGUAAUCGGUACGGGUGAUGAGAGUCAGAGCCCCGGAGACGGAAUCUGAGACAAGAUUCCGGGCCCUACGGGGCGCAGCAGGCGCGAAACCUUUACACUGCACGGAAGUGCGAUAGGGGAAUCCCAAGUGCGAGGGCAUAUUAGCCCUCGCUUUUCUCGACUGUAAGGUGGUCGACGAAUAAGAGCUGGGCAAGACCGGUGCCAGCCGCCGCGGUAAUACCGGCAGCUCAAGUGAUGUCCCAUAUUAUUGGGCCUAAAGCGUCCGUAGCUGGCCGACCAAGUCUACCGGGAAAUCCACCCGCCCAACGGGUGGGCGUCCGGUGGAAACUGGCCGGCUUGGAACCGGAAGGCUCAGAGAGUACGUCCGGGGUAGGAGUGAAAUCCCGUAAUCCCGGACGGACUACCGAUGGCGAAAGCACUCUGAGAAGACGGCUUCGACAGUGAGGGACGAAAGCUCGGGUCUCAAACCGGAUUAGAUACCCGGGUAGUCCGAGCUGUAAACGAUGCUCGUUAGGUGUGGCACCCACUACGAGUGGGUGCUGUNCCGUAGGGAAGCCGCUAGACGAGCCGCCUGGGAAGUACGUCCGCAAGGAUGAAACUUAAAGGAAUUGGCGGGGGAGCACUACAACCGGAGGAGCCUGCGGUUUAAUUGGAUU